UGGGGCGUAGCUCAGUGGUAGAGUUCUGGUCUCCAAAACCAGCAGCGCAGGUUCGAUUCCUGCCGCCCUAGCCA
rnacentral:tRNA from 1 species